AUAGAGAUGGAGGUCGGGAUUCCCUUUCUCAAGGCUGCACCGCGGCAAUUCAAUGAGCGAGACCUGCACUCAAUAGUAGAACAAUGAAAGCAGUAGUGGCACUCCCCAUACUUAGAGGGUCCGGGCCAGGCACUCCAUAUGUGUGUCGGUAUUGAUCUGAGCACUCGUGUAACUACUAAUAAAGCUCGAGGGUUUACAGGGUGAGCGUUAGCGAACUUGUGGGAGUAGAUCAGGUCUUUCUGAGUUAUUGGCUACCGGUGUUACUUCUCUUGGUCAGGUCUAAAGGUCUAAGGGGAAGACCUUUUCUUACUCUUCAACUCCCGGUAAUUUCUUCCUUUUUCUAUCGAAAGAGAGUGAGUGCAAACCUUAAGGGGUCGUGAGCGAGAAAUGAAUCAGGCAUCGGUCGUUCCAGCGGUAAGAGUCCUUCGGAUGUUGAAUGGUCUGGUCAACUCGUUCCGUUCCUGUGUAGAAAGGAAGUAACCCGUGGGUAUCUUCUAUUGAUUAACGAACUGGGAAUCAGAGCUCGCUCUUCCUUUGCUUUGGAUCUUCGGUAACUGGAGCAUCCAUAAUAAAGCGAGGUCUCUCCUGCAGCUUUGCCUUUUUUUCCA
rnacentral:misc_RNA from 1 species